UACGAAAGGGGCUAGCGUUGUUCGGAUUUACUGGGCGUAAAGGGCACGCAGGCGGUCUUGCCAGUCAGGGGUGAAAGCCCGAGGCUCAACCUCGGAACUGCCUCUGAUACUGUAAGACUUGAGACUAGGAGAGGGUGGUGGAAUUCCCAGUGUAGAGGUGAAAUUCGUAGAUAUUGGGAGGAACACCAGAGGCGAAGGCGGCCACCUGGACUAGAUCUGACGCUCAGGUGGCGAAAAGCGUGGGGGAGCAAACAGGGAUUAAGAUACCC
rnacentral:rRNA from 1 species